AGGGAGUGUUCAGAGAUGCGAAUGUGCUGCCUAGGGAAGAUUGGGCUGAUCUGACAAGUGGUGUAAAGCUUGUCCCAAGAAUCGGUUUAUGUAUGUCCCAGAAUACAUCCAUGUAUAUAUGGCCUGGAGCUGGAGGAGCCCACGCAGCCCUGGUGGAUUGCGCAUUGCAGGCCUCCUAGGGACAGUAACGGUUAAGUAUUCUUCUUGCAGUGGAAAGAAUUGUUUCAUUGACUGUUGAGUUUGAUAAGGGAGUACUCAUUGCUGCAGCACAGCUCCAGCCUAGGACUAUUGACAUGGAGCUUUAUGUAUGGAGCGAGAGGGAGAAGAGGACUGGGAGGCAAUUUUCAUUUGAAAGCACUCAAAUGUAGUAUGUUUUAGAUUUGUUCCCUAGCAGAGGUAAACUCUCCAAAUCAGAAAAGACCUAAAGAGUUUUCAGUUUAAACUGGAUUUUCAGAAACCAGAGACAGUUGAAAGCUAUUGCUAUUAGCACAGCAAAGCAAUGUCAGAAGAGGGAAAUGAUAGAAGAAUGGCUCGAUCAAUAGGAGACUGUGAAAGGAGAUGGCUCAAUUUUUAUUGUUUUUUUUUCUUGGUAUUCUAGCUACUGUGUUCAUAUUGUGAAAUUAAGAUACAUGCAGCUCCUAUUUAUAAUGACUUAGGGACGGUUUUAUGCUUUGGAUUUACUUGAAUCACAGAUUUAACCAGGUUAAAUAAAAAGAAAAAGGGGAAAAUUGCUUUAGCUGAUUUUAAUCCACUUUGAAUUGGUUAUGAGACUCUGUGCUUCUUGCACUGUGUCAUACAAUGAUCGCAUCUGUGGCUUGAGAUGGAUCUGCUUACACCUUUCCCUUGUAGUAAGUGCCCUAAAAGGCUUUUAAAUACAGAAAGCCAGGAUUUAUUUGAAUUGUGAAAAAACCCAAAAUGCAUCUUUUAAAACAGGGUAAGCUCAACAGCUAGGGAAGACAGAGGAGAAGCAAAGAGGUUUGUGAACAACUCUGCCAUUGCCUUCUCCAUUUUUAGUGAGUCCUGGCUUCUAGCCAGCUCAGUGACUUUCUGAGUGGCAGUAAAUCCUGCAGCUUUCCCUCUGGUCCAUGGGAAGUCCCUUCUCUCCCCCUGAGGCCUGUUUGUCUGCUCCCUCUCCUCUCUGCAGCCUUGUCUUCCUGAGCUGCAGGCCUUCAGCUCCGUGCUGUGCUGCUCUUGCUUGAUGCAGCCUCGGGAACCUUUUUUCCACUGGGCUUGCUCAGAAGACCCUCAGGAGACGAGCUGUCUCUCCUCUCACACACACAUUUAAGAAUGAACCACAAACUCCGAACAAAUGAGUAAUGUAGAUGGCAUUCACUGCAGACAUUGUUGCUGAAAAGAGACUCGUGAGCAUAAUGUGAACACUUUUUCAUUUGUGUAAGGUUUCAGGCUAUCCUGUUCAGUUUUGCCACGGGUUUUCAAAGUUGAUGUUUUUUUUCCCUUUGUUGUUCUCCAGCAAUACUUACAAAAGGAUACUGGAAACUACGCCAUACGUGAAGAGAGUUGAAAAUUAUUACUGUCUGACAAAAAUGAGAGCUUGGUGUUUUUCCAGCACAGCUCUUCAGCCCUUCCCAAGUUAGAAGUUAUUCAGCCCCAUUAGAAAUGCAACCUUUCCUGAUGUAUAAUAAAGGAGAGGUUUUAUAUCAGGGCUCAAACAAAACCUGCCUGACUUACCACAGUUUAAUGAGGUUCCAUGCCUCAGCUAAGCUGCAGUUAACCAACCGUGAACUGCAUGUGCACUCUUUGAAUGUUUCAAGCAUGAAGAAACAUCUUAAAUCCCAGUGAAAAAGGUGCAAGCCCAGGUAUGUCACAUCCGUGAUGGACUAAGCGCAGGUAAGUGGUGGGUUACUGUGACUCAGCCGACAGCACAUCUUGCUGUGCUGCCAUAACUCCAGAUGUGUGCUGGGACCCUUGGUAAUAAUUGCCCAAAUGCUCUUUAAUAGAGGAAGCUGAAAAGUUGAACAUAAAGGAUUUUUUUUCCCAGGCGGAAGAGGUCCAGGACAGUUUAAUAUCCCAACUCCUGUGCGAAGUUACACAAGUUAUUUGAUAACCAUAUGUGGUUAAGACCUCAGAUUUGUGUACCAUGUGAAAGAUGAAACUUCCAGUAAUAUACUUUCCCCCCUACCACUAGGUCUGAGCAUUAAAAACAACAAUCAGAGCAAAAAAUGUACUGCUGCCACCACUCCUCACAGCACCAACAUUUUUCUUGGCUAUCCUUCUCCUGAAUAAUGCUCAUCUCCAAUCCCGUUUAUUUUGAGUACUUUAAAGCCACAAGGCGACAUAAGCAAAUGCCAAAUGUACGAAUAUUAAGUCCCAUACAAACUACUUUUACCAAAUAGGGUCAUUCUUUUUCCUCAGAAAGCUUCCCUCUCUUCUGUCUUCAGAUUCAUAGUAGAUAAUCAAACAGUCCAACAGCCAAAAAGUCUUGAAGAGUGAGGUGGACAGUAAGAAAGCAAUUAGAGCAGUAUGAAACAAUUUUAUCGUCUGAAAAGAAUCCUGGAUUCCUUCUGUUACCUGUUGAGCAGAUCCAGCAAAGCAGCAGCAAACUAUCAUAGCAUCCUUCUGCUGGAGAGUUCACCAGGGCAUCACACACCAGAGACUAGAUACCUCUGAGAGUCUGAGACAUUUCCUUGAGGCUGUCAAACAUAUCAAAGGACCUGUGGGAGACCUACCCUCUUGGAACGUAGCUGGAAGCCAGACCAACUGCCUGUGCUUGGGUUUGACCUACCAAAAUGAAGCUCCGAAUGUGAUGUACCAGAGGGGAGAAUAUGCAAAGGAAGAAAGAGUGAAUUACAUGAAGAUGUCAUUGUUAGAGCUGCCCGAAACAUCUGUGAUGUUCAAGAUCAUAUGUGUUUGCCAGACUGUGUUAGGAUGGGGUCUGACUCAAUACCGUCUGACAGUAUAAGGUGGAUAAAGUAGAAGUUCAAAAAUACUACUUCCAGCUGUAGGAACUAUCACUGUCAUCUGUGCUGACGAGCAGGGCGAUGUGGUGGUGAGCGCCUUGAAGAGCUCUGUGUCGAGCUGACAGUUCUAACUGAACCAGUGACCGGCUGAACUGGAUGAUUGCUUCCUUCUUUUUUCUGGUGCUCAUCCUACUGAUCUCUGCACAACUGCUACUCCAGCAUCUGUGUGGAUCUGGUAUUCCUCCAUUGAUCCUGAAUCAAACUAUUUCAGUUUUUUACCACCUGCAGCUGAGAGUGACUAUGGUUCACCAUACUGAUGGGCUUUCAGGUCAGUUCUGCAUCAAAACUGAGUAAUUGGUUCAGGCAGACCAGACAUUCGCCUUUCCAUCUAGAACUGCCAAAGAGACCCUCCCCGUCUGAAGGACACAGCUUCAGUCUUUGAGCUCGCAACAGCCCUGACUUGGCCCAUUUGCUGAAGACAACAUGGAGACGAUUCUCCCUCUUGGGACACCAACACUGACAGGCAAAUGCCUGGCAGAGGCGAAUGACGAGAGAGAAAUAUUGCAUGUCACCCCUGACGCGGAUGCUAGCAGGAGGAAGCUCGGAGGGGCCAAGAAGAGGAAUGAAAGAAAUUGAAUUUGGGUCCUGCAACACCAGCACCAACUAGGAUUCAGCUCUUCUGCACUGUCCGAGCAAAAAGAUAACUGAUUGACUGAAAGAUAUUGACUUUGAUAUUGACUUUGAUAUUGACUGAAAAGAAUUCUCACAUCCAACAUGACUGCAAGACUUCCUGUUUUUCCUUCACGAGCUUUCUUCUUCAAGUUGAAGUCGAAAGGAGAAGUAUUUGCCAGCAGGACGGAUCCUUUCCUUUGCAAAAUGUUCUUUCAUUCUGGAUUCUGCACGGCAGGAGAUCACACUGAUGGGAAACAUGCCAAAAUUUUCCAGAAUCUCAAAGCCCAAGUGGAGUAAAGAGAUAUUACAUUUCCAUGAUUCAGAAAGCAAGUAUUUUCAUGGAAUAAGGAUCAAUCUGUUUCAAUCACAGUGGAUCACCCAGCUGCAGAGGACCCCCCACACUUGCUUUGUAAGAACCAUGGCACCGGAGGUAGCACUAUGGACAGUCCAAAGCCCAGUAUAUAACGUGAGGGUCAUGGUUUCCCUGAAGAAAACUGAACUCCACAAGACUGCCAGGUCUCAUCUUUGUCUACCCUUCUUCUGGAAGUCUAGAAACUUUUUGGAACUGAACCAUCAGGCAGUUCAAGACAUACUAAUCUUUUAAUACAU